rnacentral:rRNA from 1 species
GAUGAACGCUGGCGGCGUGCCUAAUACAUGCAAGUCGAGCGAACGGACGAGGAGCUUGCUUUUCUGACGUUAGCGGCGGACGGGUGAGUAACACGUGGAUAACCUACCUAUAAGACUGGGAUAACUUCGGGAAACCGGAGCUAAUACCGGAUAAUAUAUUGAACCGCAUGGUUCAAAAGUGAAAGACGGUUUUGCUGUCACUUAUAGAUGGAUCCGCGCUGCAUUAGCUAGUUGGUAAGGUAACGGCUUACCAAGGCAACGAUGCAUAGCCGACCUGAGAGGGUGAUCGGCCACACUGGAACUGAGACACGGUCCAGACUCCUACGGGAGGCAGCAGUAGGGAAUCUUCCGCAAUGGGCGAAAGCCUGACGGAGCAACGCCGCGUGAGUGAUGAAGGUCUUCGGAUCGUAAAACUCUGUUAUUAGGGAAGAACAUAUGUGUAAGUAACUAUGCACGUCUUGACGGUACCUAAUCAGAAAGCCACGGCUAACUACGUG